AACUUUCAGUAUUGCAAGGAGAGGAAUGGGCUCCGCAUUUCCAGCUCCAAGCACUCCAUUUCAGAGCCGCUGGGGAGGAUAUUGGGCCUCCAACUGCAACUCCGGCGUCGCCCGGGCAGCCCGACCCAGCCAACCUGCCCAGGAUCCGCCCACCCGCCGCGAUUUCCAUGGCGACCGAUGGCGCCGCCUUCCGCAGCCUUAGGGCGGGAUUCAAAUGCUUUGGACAGACUCACCAACUGCCCGGCUGAGAGAAUCUGUGAGGUCUACCUGCCUAGCAAUUUGCCUUUGCACGGUCCUCCUGUGAGGAGUGAGGACACACAGGUGAGGGAUCAGCUCACCCAUCUCACUGUGACACAGUGUCCUUAACUGGACAACCUGCUCCUCAGCUCCUGUCCUCAAGUAACAGUCAUGAGCUUGGUGGAAAUCAGCACUAAUCUGCGAGCCCUCAGGUGCUUUUUCAUGCGUAAGCAUCUUAACCAGAUGCCAGCAAAGGUAUCUCAAUGUGAGUGGUUGCUGACAGAUUACCAAUGCAGGAAUCCAUGUGCUGGCAUGGAGCUGUCACCAGCUCAAGUAUGUGGACCUGAGCUCUACAGGGAUAAGCAAAAGAGGAUUGAAGAUUCUCCAUCUCUAUGGCUGCACCAUCACUUCUGACCUGAGCAAAAUAAAAGGAGCUUACGGAAGUGUCAAAGUAUUUCAUGACAUAUUUGCCCUUACCUGCUAACAUUUUCAGGAAAAUAGAGUUUCUGCCAACAAAGAUAUUGAAAAUAUACAUAAAUAUGCCCAGGAGUUUUCGCCAUUAAAGUGAGGUAUACAUUAUUUUUCGGUUUGGAAAUAAUCAAGAAAUAAUUGUAUGUGAAGCUUCAGCACCAUACCAAAUAAUGCAUUUUUCUA